rnacentral:rRNA from 1 species
UACAGAGGGUGCGAGCGUUAAUCGGAAUUACUGGGCGUAAAGGGCGCGUAGGUGGUUAAUUAAGUGAGCUGUGAAAUCCCUGGGCUUAACCUAGGAACUGCAGCUUAAACUGGUUGGCUGGAGUACGGUAGAGGGUAGAGGAAUUUCCGGUGUAGCGGUGAAAUGCGUAGAUAUCGGAAGGAACACCAGUGGCGAAGGCGGCUUGCUGGGCCUUACCUGACGCUGAGGAGCGAAAGCGUGGGGAGCGAACAGG